rnacentral:rRNA from 1 species
UACGUAGGGCGCAAGCGUUGUCCGGAAUUAUUGGGCGUAAAGAGCUCGUAGGUGGCUUGUCGCGUCUGCCGUGAAAGCCCGUGGCUUAACUACGGGUCUGCGGUGGAUACGGGCAGGCUAGAGGCUGGUAGGGGCAAGCGGAAUUCCUGGUGUAGCGGUGAAAUGCGCAGAUAUCAGGAGGAACACCAAUGGCGAAGGCAGCUCUCUGGGACGGUACUGACGCUGAGACGCGAAAGCGUGGGGAGCGAACAGG